rnacentral:rRNA from 1 species
CAGCAGCCGCGGGAAUACGUAUGUCGCGAGCGUUAUCCGGAAUUAUUGGGCAUAAAGGGCAUCUAGGCGGCCGGAUAAGUCUGGGGUGAAAACUUGCGGCUCAACCGCAAGCCUGCCCUGGAAACUAUGCGGCUAGAGUACUGGAGAGGUGGACGGAACUGCACGAGUAGAGAUGAAAUUCGUAGAUAUGUGCAGGAAUGCCGAUGAUGAAGAUAGUUCACUGGACGGUAACUGACGCUGAAGUGCGAAAGCUAGGGGAGCAAACAGGAUUAGAUACCCGCGUAGUCCCUGUCUCUUAUAC